rnacentral:rRNA from 1 species
AGAGUUUGAUCCUGGCUCAGAAUGAACGCUGGCGGCGUGCCUAACACAUGCAAGUCGAGCGAGAAAGUUCCCUUCGGGGAGCGAGUACAGCGGCGGACGGGUGAGUAACGCGUGGACGAUCUACCCAAGGAUUCGGGAUAACCUUGCGAAAGCGGGGCUAAUACCGAAUGGUCUGGGCAUUUUGAAAUGUGCCUGGUAAAGGUGGCCUCUGAUUCAAGCUAUCGUCUUUGGAUGGGUCCGCGUCCCAUUAGCUUGUUGGUAGGGUCAUGGCCUACCAAGGCGACGAUGGGUAGCUGGUCUGAGAGGAUGAUCAGCCACACUGGGACUGGAACACGGCCCAGACUCCUACGGGAGGCAGCAGUGGGGAAUAUUGGGCAAUGGGCGCAAGCCUGACCCAGCAACGCCGCGUGAGGGAAGAAGGUCUUCGGAUCGUAACCUCAGUCAGGAGGGAAGAAAUGGGUUGUCCUGAACAGGGAUGGCCUUUGACGGUACCUCCAGAGGAAGCACCGGCCAACUCCGUGCCAGCAGCCGCGGUAAUACGGAGGGUGCAAGCGUUAUUCGGAAUCACUGGGCGUAAAGCGCACGUAGGCGGCUUUGCAAGUCAGUGUGAAAGCCCUCGGCUCAACCGAGGAAUUGCACUUGAAACUGUAGAGCUCGAGUUCGGGAGAGG